AAAUCGCCUAGUCCCAACCCAUGCACUCUCUAAUCGGCGCCACACGACGGGCCUUUCCCACAACCUCAUCUGCUUGGGGACGUAAAGGGCUCUGUGGGGGAGCUGCAGCUUUCGUGCCCAUCUGUUAAAGGCCAGAACUUCCCAUCUCUGAAAUGCGAGAGAGAACAGAGCUCAAGCUUGAAUAACUGAGCGCGGCCCGGCAGUCCCCCAAGUGAAGAUUCACCAGAGGAUAAGCCUGAUGGAAGUCUGGAGAUAACAGGACUCCCAACCAGCAGAUGUGAAACCUGAAAUUAGUGAUUUGCCAAAGGAAAUGAUGAGCUGUGAUCCCAGAUUUCAUCUCAAGUAUAAAGUAAUGAAGUGAGAAGAUUGAUGUUGAAAGGGACCUUGGAGGGCAUUUUAAUAUCUA